rnacentral:rRNA from 1 species
AACCAGCACCUCAAGUGGUCAGGAUGAUUAUUGGGCCUAAAGCAUCCGUAGCUCGUUUUGUCAGUUUUCGGUUAAAUCCAUACGCUUAACGUAUGGGCUGCCGGGAAUACUGCAUAACUAGGAAGUGGGAGAGGUAGACGGUACUCGGUAGGAAGGGGUAAAAUCCUUUGAUCUAUUGAUGACCACCUGUGGCGAAGGCGGUCUACCAGAACACGUUCGACGGUGAGGGAUGAAAGCUGGGGGAGCAAACCGG